AUGCAGUUCGUACCCUGGUUCGACCCCACCGCCGACUUCCACGCCUACACCAUUUCCUGGACGCCCUGCAUGAUCGUCUGGUACGUCGACGACGUCCCCAUCCGGGUGUUCCGCAACUACCAGGACAAGGGCAUUGCGUACCCGACCAAGCGGCCCAUGUUCGGCUACUCCAGCAUCUGGUCGGCGGAGGACUGGGCCACGCAGGGCGGCCGCGUCAAAGCCGACUGGUCCAAGGCGCCCUUCGUCGCCGGCUACCGCGACAUGGUCCUCGACGUCUGCCCCUGCGACGGAAGCGACUCCUGCGUCUACGGCUGCGCCGGGGCAUUCAGCCAUGGCGGGCGGGAGCAGAACUGUGCUGGCCUCAGCGACCAGCAGCGGACCAAGAUGCUGGAGAAGCAGAGGUCUCACAGGAUCUACGACUACUGCGUCGACUAUAGGAACAACAAGAAGCCCGGCCCCGAGUGCAGCCUGCCGCAGUACUGA
rnacentral:rRNA from 1 species